rnacentral:lncRNA from 10 species
AUCCUCUUCUGUUUUCUACUCCUCUCACUGACUACAGCUGCCACUGUAAGACAUUCAGAAAAAUCUUCUGCUCAGAUUAAAGCUGGAGGAAGGGAGGUGCAGCUUUGGCUCAGCUCUUAACAGUGCAACAUCUAGUGCCUCUAUAGUUCUCUUGGACACAGAUGGCUGCUUUCGAAGAAGAAAGAAGUGGAAAGUGAUGGAGUUUCUAUGCUCCAGCUCUCUUUGCCUGCUGCCAUCCACGUAAGAUGUGACUUGCUCCUCUUUGCCUUCUGCCAUAAUUGUGAGCCCCCCUCAGCCAUGUGGAAUGAUGGAAAACAGAACAAGCCAUGGAGGCCCCAGGGAUCAGGCAGGGCCAAGAGGAUCUGAUGGCGGAAGGGGGAGCACAUCAACAAGACCUUACAAGGCAACUUGCAUGGAUGCUCUGAAGCAACUUUGAGGUCUCCUUGAUGAGGAAAGUUGGCUCAACCUGCUGUAGAGUAGGCCCACAGCCAAGCCAUUGAGAGACAAGUCCAUGGGAGACAAAUUAGCUCAUGCAGCUGAGAUGUCCUGGAGAUUUUCCACAGCACCACUUGGCCAGUGCCUAGACAAGAAAAUGUAUUUUAAUGUAAAACAUACCAGGCUAUUCUUUGGUAUGACACCUGACGGGAAGCUUGGAUCAGGUUGAGUAUGGCAGAAAGUCUCAUGCAUCAUUCCUGUGCCUAAGUGACAAUCUCAGUUGAGACCUUCAGGUUUUCCCACCUUAUCUAUCUCAACGACUGGGUUCCUUUCCACUUUGCCAUUCCUCAUCCCUCCACUGACUGCCAUAUUGAUUUUUCAAAAUGUAAAUAUAAUUAUGUCACUCAUCUUCCAAAAGUUCUUAAGUAAUUGCUUAUAACCCACAAUAUGAUAGAAAAACUGAGAGUGGUGUAGAGGAUCCUUUAGGCCUUGGGCCUGCCUACCUGCUCAGCAUUAUCUGCUCUACCCUCAUUAACCCCCUCUGCACUGGCUAUACUGAGAAAUUUGGUAUCCCCCAAAGUUAUCAUGACAUGCUGCCCUUUUGGCUGGCCAGCUCUUGCUACCUGCUGCAAGAGAACAGCUACUCUCCCUUCAAGUCCAAAUGUUAUCUAUCCUGUUG